rfam:Rodentibacter rarus strain CCTG17206 contig_33, whole genome shotgun sequence.
CGAGUUGGUUAGACAAUCGCUGGUUUAUUGAAGCCCUUAACCGUGUUCGCACGACCUAGUGGGACAAGUAAACGAGAGGAAAGUCCGAGCUACACAGGGCAGAGUGCCGGAUAACGUCCGGGAGGCGUGAGCCUACGACCAGUGCAACAGAGAGAAGACCGCCGUGCAAACGGUAAGGGUGAAAGGGUGCGGUAAGAGCGCACCGUGCCAUCGGUAACGGUUGGCAGCAGGGUAAACUCCACUCGUAGCAAGACCAAAUAGGAACUCAAUGGAUGGCCCGUCCAGAGUUCGGGUAGGUCGCUUGAGCGGCGGGGUAAUUCGUCGCCUAGAGGAAUGAUUGUCCACGACAGAACUCGGCUUAUCGACCAACUCAAUAU